rnacentral:rRNA from 1 species
AACGAACGCUGGCGGCAGGCUUAACACAUGCAAGUCGAACGCAUCCUUCGGGGUGAGUGGCAGACGGGUGAGUAACGCGUGGGAACGUGCCCUUCAGUUCGGGAUAACCCAGGGAAACUUGGGCUAAUACCGGAUACGUGCGAGAGCAGAAAGAUUUAUCGCUGAAGGAUCGGCCCGCGUCUGAUUAGCUAGUUGGUGAGGUAAUGGCUCACCAAGGCGACGAUCAGUAGCUGGUCUGAGAGGAUGAUCAGCCACAUUGGGACUGAGACACGGCCCAAACUCCUACGGGAGGCAGCAGUGGGGAAUAUUGGACAAUGGGCGCAAGCCUGAUCCAGCCAUACCGCGUGAGUGAUGAAGGCCUUAGGGUUGUAAAGCUCUUUCGUCCGGGACGAUAAUGACGGUACCGGAAGAAGAAGCCCCGGCUAACUUCGUGCCAGCAGCCGCCGUAAGAC